rnacentral:rRNA from 1 species
UGUAAGCGUAUACCAAAGUUGUUGCAGUUAAAACGCUCGUAGUCGGAAUUUGGCAGUUCCGGAUGUGUGCACGUCGUGUGCGCACUUCGCGGGGAUUGCUUUUGUGGUCUUGCGUAGGAUGAGGCACUUUUAUUAGUGAACGUCCUCAUGCAACCACUUUUUACUGUGAGAAAAUCAGAGUGCUCAAAGCAGGCAUUUGCCGUGAAUGUAUUAGCAUGGAAUAAUAGAAUAGGACUUGGUUCUAUUUUGUUGGUUUGUUGGGACUGAGUAAUGAUUAAGAGGGACAGUUGGGGGCAUUUGUAUUUCGGUGCUAGAGGUGAAAUUCUUAGAUUACCGAAAGACAAACUGCUGCGAAAGCGUCUGCCAAGGAUGUUUUCAUUGA